UUAACGUGAACUUACACUAUUUUACCUGAAAGUAGAUGAUCGUUUAUUUGAUACUCAUUAUUAUUACUAAACAGUUAUGAACAUUCCCCAAUGUUCAUAACAUUUCUCCUUAACCGGAACUACGAAAGUAGCUUCGUUGUUAUACGCACUGAUCACCCCAAUCAUUGCGUAUUUUUUUUGCUUAAAAUU
rnacentral:sRNA from 1 species